rnacentral:rRNA from 1 species
GACGAACGCUGGCGGCGUGCUUAACACAUGCAAGUCGAACGGAAAGGCCCUGCUUUUGUGGGGUGCUCGAGUGGCGAACGGGUGAGUAACACGUGAGUAACCUGCCCUUGACUUUGGGAUAACUUCAGGAAACUGGGGCUAAUACCGGAUAGGAGCUCCUGCUGCAUGGUGUGGGUUGGAAAGUUUCGGCGGUUGGGGAUGGACUCGCGGCUUAUCAUCGUGUUGGUGGGGUAGUGGCUUACCAAGGCUCUGACGGGUAGCCGGCCUGAGAGGGUGACCGGCCAAAAUGGGACUGCGAUACGGCACAGACCGCGACGGGAGGGAACAGUGGGGAAUGUUGCAGAAUGGGCGGAAGCCUGAUGGAGCAACGCCGGGUGCGGGAUGACGGGCUUCGGGUUGUAAACCGCUUUCGGCUGUGACGAAGCGUGAGUGACGGUAAUGGGUAAAGAAGCACCGGCUAACUACGUG